AGCAGUGGGCGCGCACUGUAGCUGUUCCCACUCAACGUUCUUGAAGCCAAAAUAUGCCGCUUAGGGGCGCUUCCAUCUUGCGAUUUUGACGUCAUUUGGAGCCUGAGUCUGCGCAGUAGGGUCCGGGGGCAGGAGCCCUGGUAACACUCCCCGCCCACUUAGCGUACUGCCCUGAUGACUUACGCAGCCCAGCUACGCCGAAAGCGCUCCGCCGGUCUACAAGUCUUAUGAAGAAAUGUGUAAGUACAACAAACCACCGUAUUCAAAGUCUAAUAUUUAAACACACUGUGUUUUAAAAAAUCCCGCUAUUUUGAUCAUUAUUGAAAAUACGUGGGCUGCUGGGUCCUCUGUUUUUAACAAAAUCGUUCUAUAUUUAAGCUAGGUUAGCACCACAGACCGUAGACUACAGGUGGUAAGAUAUGUUGUAUUCUGUUACAAACUGAUAGUCUGUAAUGUGAUUCAUGUCUGCUUUUCUAAUAUAUUUAAGUGAACAGUAAAUCAAUUGUUUUUUGUAUCUUCAUUUAGGCAAAGAAGAGAUAAAAGCAGCUGGUCUGACAUCUUCCACAGAGGUGAAGUAGGUCAGGCUGGGGUCACAGUUUGAAGGAACCUCCUCCUUCUUUCACCUGUGCCAGACGCCCUGCUCAUCCACUGUGGUAGAAAUGACCUUACACCAGCAGCUCUCCCAGAUGAAGAGUCCUCUCUGCCAUCACCGAUGCUGAUCAACGUCUGCACAACUGAAGAAGGUGGACAGAGUCUGGUGCUUUGUGACAGUGAACAGUGAGAAGGCUACCAUAGUCAUCCUCAGAUAAAACACAGAGAUCCUGGUCAAUAUUCAAUGCUGCUAUUUUCCUUUACAUGAUGUUGCCAUGUGUUUGAAAGGCCAGAUGCUGGAGGGUUGUGUUGGAUUUGCUCUUCCAUCAUACAGUUAAACAAUCAUCCAGGAUCUUUAUACUUUAUUUGAUUUUUGUUGGGAUUUCUUUGUUAAAUUAUUUUUUAAUACUUUCUCCUAUGUCCCAGCAAUUCGACCUGAUGGUCUCCCUUACUUAUUUUCCACAUGGUUAAUGAAGCCGGGGGUUGUUUAUUGAAGAUUAUUUUUCAUAAAAUGGUUAAAUAAACUUUUUUAAAAUCUGAAUUGACUGUCUCUGAUUAACUGGAGCACUACAACGUGUUGGUCACAGUAAAAUCAUUUAGCAGUUAAGUUCAUAGCUCACAUUUGAAAAGGCCUUGAACUGACAUUAAUUUCUUCUUGACCAACAACAGCUAAGACAACAGCAAAGCUAACAGACGAGCUCAGCUUGUCACAGCCGGUCUCGUCUGAGAUAAAUGGCCUUCAAACUUAUUUAAUACUAAACAUUUA